UAAAAGGGUUUCUGCUGUGAAUGGCACACGGGUGAGGCUUGCGCUUUGUCUGUGCGGAAUCGAUAUCAAGAGAUUUCGGAAGCACAAUUUUUGUUUCGAGGGGCUGCUGGUGAUCGAUCAUCCCGGCGCCCCG